UACGGGGGGUGCGAGCGUUGUCCGGAAUCACUGGGCGUAAAGGGCGCGUAGGUGGCGCGAGUAGUCAACGGUGAAAGCCCGGGGCUCAACCCCGGGUCGGCCGUCGAUACUCUCGUGCUUGAGCACUGUAGAGGCAGGUGGAAUUCCGGGUGUAGCGGUGGAAUGCGUAGAGAUCCGGAAGAACACCGGUGGCGAAGGCGGCCUGCUGGGCAGUAGCUGACACUGAGGCGCGACAGCGUGGGGAGCAAACAGG
rnacentral:rRNA from 1 species